GAUGAACGCUGGCGGCGUGCCUAAUACAUGCAAGUCGAGCGACCGGACGAGAAGCUUUCUUCUCUGAUGUUAGCGGCGGACGGGUGAGUAACACGUGGAUAACCUACCUCUAUGACUGGGAUAACUUCGGGAAACCGGAGCUAAUACUGGAUAAUAUUUUGUACCGCAUGGUUCAAAAGUGAAAGACGGUUUUGCUGUCUCUUAUAGAUGGAUCCGCGCUGCAUUAGCUAGUUGGUAAGGUAACGGCUUACCAAGGCAACGAUGCAUAGCCGACCUGAGAGGGUGAUCGGCCACACUGGAACUGAGACACGGUCCAGACUCCUACGGGAGGCAGCAGUAGGGAAUCUUCCGCAAUGGGCGAAAGCCUGACGGAGCAACGCCGCGUGAGUGAUGAAGGUCUUCGGAUCGUAAAACUCUGUUAUUAGGGAAGAAAAGAUGUGUAUGUAACUGUGCACAUCUUGACGGUACCUAAUCAGAAAGCCACGGCUAACUACGUG
rnacentral:rRNA from 1 species